UACGGAGGGUGCAAGCGUUAUCCGGAUUCACUGGGUUUAAAGGGUGCGUAGGUGGGCAGGUAAGUCAGUGGUGAAAUCUCCGGGCUUAACCCGGAAACUGCCGUUGAUACUAUCUGUCUUGAAUAUCGUGGAGAUGAGCGGAAUAUGUCAUGUAGCGGUGAAAUGCUUAGAUAUGACAUAGAACACCGAUUGCGAAGGCAGCUCGUUACACGGUUAUUGACACUGACGCACAAAACCGUGGCGAUCAAACAGG
rnacentral:rRNA from 1 species